CGUCGAACCGGGAAAACGCUCUAUUGGUAAGGGAGAGGCCGAGAGUUCAAAUCUCUCCGGCAGCACCA
rnacentral:tRNA from 1 species